AUUAUUGUUUAGUUCAGCAAAAAAGGAAAACGUGGAACCUGAAAGUGAGCUUUCCUCUCACCUAGUGUAGGAGUACGAAAAAUGUCACUUCCGGCUGCACACUUGUGAAUGUGUUAAACAAAACAAAACUCUCUUUCUUGUUCAGCUGUAACGUUAGUAAGUAGGAGUAUUUAAAGAAUAUGAAAGAGUCUUCAAAAACUGUGCCUGCUGAUGUUCCCACCACUCCAGGUCACUGAACUGACAGCGCUCCCCCAUGUAGCCUGAUACACAACUGCAACAAGUUUUAAAAAGUCACAAUUUAAAGGGGAUGAACCACCACAAUGGAUGCUGGUUGGACCAUGUUGCCAUGGAUACGUUGCAGCUUUUUCCCAGUCCGCUUGUGUACACUCCUCAGCUGCUGGUGCUCCCGAUCAGAUAUCCACAAGCUGUCCUCAAACACUGCAAGGUCAAAAGGUCGACCUGGAUGAAUCAGAUUAGAGAGAAAGAAGACCAGCAUUAAGUAAAUACUGCAAGGACCUGUCGAUCUGAGCCAUCCAGGGCAGCAGUCUCUACCAUGCCCCUCCUCUGGUCGCACCAGAACAGACGAUCCUCUGUGAAAUCGAUGGUCAGGCCGCUUGGUGUCAAAAGGCUCUCCGUUGUGUUGUGGAAAGCCUUUUCUGACAUGACUGUAGUCCAUCUAAAGGGUACUUCCCAGAUGACAAGGUCAGAGUUAAUCAGGUAGUUCCUGAGCCUGUUGGGCAGGGGAAGGUGGGAAAGAAGAUGGAGUCUGUCACGGCCGACAGAGUUCCUGAUGCACUGACGACACACCUGACUCAGCAGUCGUGGUGUAGCUGUGAAAGGAGACAAUGAAACAUUAUAUAAGCUGGUCUUAAUGCAUAGAUUACUUCCCAAAGACAACCAUUGCUUUAGGCUGGACUGAAUUUUAAAAAAAAGUUCUGUCCUGCUACAAGCUCAGGUUAUUGGGCAACCUUUAUAUGGUAAUGGAUAUAUAUUAAAACAUAGAUAUAAUUACCAAAAGUAAAAAAAAUGCAAACAUAGGUCAGUAGUUGCCUACGAAACCAAGUUGCAGGUGUUCUUGUACCUUCAUAUAGUAGUAGGAAGCCCUCUGUUAGACUGCUGGGUGGAGCCACAUCUACUGGCCUCUGAAACUCUGUGUUCCGGGCAUUAAUGUCUGCACCAAAGUCCAGCAGCAGCUUCACUACAGCUGUGCAGUCUUUUUCUGCAGCUGCAUGUAAGGGUGAAUCCAGGGAUUUGCCUUUCUGUACAUUUGCACCUGUAUGCAGGACAACUUGAUUAUCCAUUCUAGAGUCAAGUUGGAAAAAUGUUAAAUGUCAUCAAUACCUGUUCACUGUAAUCCAGGAGUUACUUUGUGACAAAAGUUUCUUAUUUUUUAUGCACAUCCCUUCCUUCAUCUGCCCUUAUCUAUCUAAAAAUUGCCAUUAUUUAUUCAAGACUUUCAAUAGCCCUGAGAGAAUGGACGUAAAGUUGUUACUUUAAAACAAGCAAUAUGGGUAUACAAAUAGCUUAAAAAUGUGAUCAGUCAGCUGUAAUGUAGCUACAUGUGAAUGCUGUGCCACUCCGUACUCAGAUUGCAACAUGUUAUGUAUCUGCAUUAAUAAGACAAGUGUCACAAUCAUCAUCACAUUGAAUUGUCCAUAAAUGAUCUCUAGAAAGAGACUUUUAGCACAUUUGGAAUAAACUAACAGACCACCACCUACCGCUGGUGUUUACCAUUGCCUUGACAAUUUACAUUACUGACAAAUAAUUAUUUUAUUGCUGCUGUACUGGAAAUUCCACUAAUAUCAUUUAAUCUGCAAUGAGGCCAAACAAAUGUUUUGUUGAGUAACUGCUCAACGAAAAUAAGUUAUAAGUUAUUUAGUUAGUAUUUUAAAAAUCGAUUGUGUAUUCAUGUGUUUUUGUAGCUAUGUCUUUGCCAGUGCACAAUAAAUGUGCUUGUGUAUCUGUGUG